UUUCCGUAGGUGAACCUGCGGAAGGAUCAUUAUUGUAUAACCGAGGUGCGAGGGCUGUCGCUGACCUUUUCGGUCGUGCACGCCCGAGCGCUCUCACACAAUCCAUCUCACCCCUUGUGCACCACCGCGUGGGUCCCUUUCUGGCUCGUCCGGAGGGGGGCCCGCGUUUUCACACAAACUUGAAGUAGUGUAGAAUGUCCUUUUUUUGCGAUAACACGCAAUCAAUACAACUUUCAACAACGGAUCUCUUGGCUCUC
rnacentral:misc_RNA from 1 species